rnacentral:rRNA from 1 species
AUUGAACGCUGGCGGCAUGCCUUACACAUGCAAGUCGAACGGCAGCACGGGUGCUUGCACCUGGUGGCGAGUGGCGAACGGGUGAGUAAUACAUCGGAACAUGUCCUGUAGUGGGGGAUAGCCCGGCGAAAGCCGGAUUAAUACCGCAUACGAUCCACGGAUGAAAGCGGGGGACCUUCGGGCCUCGCGCUAUAGGGUUGGCCGAUGGCUGAUUAGCUAGUUGGUGGGGUAAAGGCCUACCAAGGCGACGAUCAGUAGCUGGUCUGAGAGGACGACCAGCCACACUGGCACUGAGACACGGCCCAGACUCCUACGGGAGGCAGCAGUGGGGAAUUUUGGACAAUGGGCGAAAGCCUGAUCCAGCAAUGCCGCGUGUGUGAAGAAGGCCUUCGGGUUGUAAAGCACUUUUGUCCGGAAAGAAAUCCUUGGCUCUAAUACAGUCGGGGGAUGACGGUACCGGAAGAAUAAGCACCGGCUAACUACGUG